UAAAGCGGGUGAAAAGCCCGCUCGCCGGAAGACCAAGGGUUCCUGUCCAACGUUAAUCGGGGCAGGGUGAGUCGACCCCUAAGGCGAGGCCGAAAGGCGUAGUCGAUGGGAAACAGGUUAAUAUUCCUGUACUUGGUGUUACUGCGAAGGGGGGACGGAGAAGGCUAUGUUGGCCGGGCGACGGUUGUCCCGGUUUAAGCGUGUAGGCUGGUUUUCCAGGCAAAUCCGGAAAAUCAAGGCUGAGGCGUGAUGACGAGGCACUACGGUGCUGAAGCAACAAAUGCCCUGCUUCCAGGAAAAGCCUCUAAGCAUCAGGUAACAUCAAAUCGUACCCCAAACCGACACAGGUGGUCAGGUAGAGAAUACCAAGGCGCUUGAGAGAACUCGGGUGAAGGAACUAGGCAAAAUGGUGCCGUAACUUCGGGAGAAGGCACGCUGAUAUGUAGGUGAAGUCCCUUGCGGAUGGAGCUGAAAUCAGUCGAAGAUACCAGCUGGCUGCAACUGUUUAUUAAAAACACAGCACUGUGCAAACACGAAAGUGGACGUAUACGGUGUGACGCCUGCCCGGUGCCGGAAGGUUAAUUGAUGGGGUCAGCGCAAGCGAAGCUCUUGAUCGAAGCCCCGGUAAACGGCGGCCGUAACUAUAACGGUCCUAAGGUAGCGAAAUUCCUUGUCGGGUAAGUUCCGACCUGCACGAAUGGCGUAAUGAUGGCCAGGCUGUCUCCACCCGAGACUCAGUGAAAUUGAACUCGCUGUGAAGAUGCAGUGUACCCGCGGCAAGACGGAAAGACCCCGUGAACCUUUACUAUAGCUUGACACUGAACAUUGAGCCUUGAUGUGUAGGAUAGGUGGGAGGCUUUGAAGUGUGGACGCCAGUCUGCAUGGAGCCGGCCUUGAAAUACCACCCUUUAAUGUUUGAUGUUCUAACGUGGACCCGUGAUCCGGGUUGCGGACAGUGUCUGGUGGGUAGUUUGACUGGGGCGGUCUCCUCCUAAAGAGUAACGGAGGAGCACGAAGGUUGGCUAAUCCUGGUCGGACAUCAGGAGGUUAGUGCAAUGGCAUAAGCCAGCUUGACUGCGAGCGUGACGGCGCGAGCAGGUGCGAAAGCAGGUCAUAGUGAUCCGGUGGUUCUGAAUGGAAGGGCCAUCGCUCAACGGAUAAAAGGUACUCCGGGGAUAACAGGCUGAUACCGCCCAAGAGUUCAUAUCGACGGCGGUGUUUGGCACCUCGAUGUCGGCUCAUCACAUCCUGGGGCUGAAGUAGGUCCCAAGGGUAUGGCUGUUCGCCAUUUAAAGUGGUACGCGAGCUGGGUUUAGAACGUCGUGAGACAGUUCGGUCCCUAUCUGCCGUGGGCGCUGGAGAACUGAGGGGGGCUGCUCCUAGUACGAGAGGACCGGAGUGGACGCAUCACUGGUGUUCGGGUUGUCAUGCCAAUGGCACUGCCCGGUAGCUAAAUGCGGAAGAGAUAAGUGCUGAAAGCAUCUAAGCACGAAACUUGCCCCGAGAUGAGUUCUCCCUGACCCUUUAAGGGUCCUGAAGGAACGUUGAAGACGACGACGUUGAUAGGCCGGGUGUGUAAGCGCAGCGAUGCGUUGAGCUAACCGGUACUAAUGAACCGUGAG
rnacentral:rRNA from 1 species